rnacentral:sRNA from 1 species
UCCAGGUUCAGUCCGAUUCAGGUGCCUAAUCAAAUAGAACCCUUAUUGAUUUGCUAGUUUCAAAGGUAAAUAUCCAGCCCACUAAAUGCUAGGCGUAAUGAGGACCUCCAAAAAAAUUCUUUUCGUUCUAUAAACUUUAAGGUGUAUGAAGUCUCAUAUUCCACUCUUGCAGCAGAACGAUAGAGACUCCAUUUAACUUAGGUUGAUUUAAUUUAGGCCGGAGGCAGACCUAAGUCAAGGUAAUCCUUCAUUGAAACACUUUGGUAUUGCUCCU